rnacentral:rRNA from 1 species
UACGGAGGGUGCAAGCGUUGCUCGGAAUUAUUGGGCGUAAAGGGUAGGUAGGUGGUCUCAUUUGUCUGGGGUGAAAGCCCUGGGCUCAACCCAGGAACUGCAUCCGAAACUGUUGGCCUGGAGUGGUGGAGAGGGAAGCAGAAUUCCUGGUGUAGAGGUGAAAUUCGUAGAUAUCAGGAGGAACACCGGUGGCGAAGGCGGCUUCCUGGACACUUACUGACGCUGAGACGCGAAAGCGUGGGGAGCAAACAGG